GCCUGGAUAGCUCAGCCGGCAGAGCACGUCCUUGGUAAGGACGAGGCCGCGGGUUCGAUUCCCACUCCAGGCUCCA
rnacentral:tRNA from 1 species